UUCGCCGCUCGUGACGUCUUGAGAAGUCCACUGAACCUUAUCAUUUAGAGGAAGGAGAAGUCGUAACAAGGUUUCCGUAGGUGAACCUGCGGAAGGAUCAUUGUGGAAAACCCCAUCGAGGAGCACUGCGAACGUGUCAACGAAAUGUUGUCGGGACGGGCUGCCCCGACCGACACGGUCCUCGCCCAAGUGGCGCUGACCAUCGACCAAACCCCGGGCGCGAUGUGCGCCAAGCAUACAAUGAAAACCUGAGGGCGGGCUGGGCUUUGCUCCGGCUGCGCCCUGCUUCUCGGAUUAGAAUGACUCUCGGCAACGGAUAUCUCGGCCCUCGCAUCGAUGAAGAACGUAGCGAAAUGCGAUACGUGGUGUGAAUUGCAGAAUCCCGCGAACCAUUGAGUUUUUGAACGCAAGUUGCGCCCGAGGCCUUGCCGCCGAGGGCACGCCUGCCUGGGCGUCACGCCAUUGUCGCUCCGUGCUCUCCCUCAGCCCUCGCUUGCGCGGGCUGCGUGGCCGGUGCGGAAAUUGGCCCCCCGUGCCUUUGGGUGCGGUCGGCCGAAGAGUGGGCCGUCGCUUGUGGUCGGACACGACGGAUGGUGGCACUGUGAGAAAGCCGAACGUCGUCUCUUGGCCGUUGUGAUGCGCCUUUGUGGAUCCCCACCCCGCGUUGCGGGAUUGCCUUGGAUCGCGACCCCAGGUCAGGCGGGACCACCCGCCGAGUUUAAGCAUAUAAAUAAGCGGAGGAGAAGAAACUUACGAGGAUUCCCAUAGUAACGGCGAGCGAACCGGGAUCAGCCCAGCUUGAGAAUCGGGCGGCUGCACCGUCCGAA
rnacentral:rRNA from 1 species